rnacentral:lncRNA from 1 species
CGUAUCGUAUCGUAUAAUAUCGUAUCGUAUAGUGUCGUGUCAUAUCGUGUCGUGUGGUGUCGUCUCGUCUCGUCUCGUCUCGUGUCGUCUCUUGGCGUAUCGUCUCGUGUCAUGUCGUCUCGUCUGGUAUGGUAUGGCAUGGCAUGGCAAGGCAUGGCAUGGUAUUUUAUAGGCCCUGUAGCUCAGAGGAUUAUAGCACGUGGCUACGAACCACGAUGUUGGGGGUUCGAAUCCCUCCUCGCCCAU